rnacentral:rRNA from 1 species
GUGGGGAAUUUUGGACAAUGGGCGCAAGCCUGAUCCAGCAAUGCCGCGUGUGUGAAGAAGGCCUUCGGGUUGUAAAGCACUUUUGGCAGGAAAGAAAUAGCGCGUGCUAAUACCAUGCGCGAAUGACGGUACCUGCAGAAUAAGCACCGGCUAACUACGUGCCAGCAGCCGCGGUAAGACGUAGGGUGCAAGCGUUAAUCGGAAUUACUGGGCGUAAAGCGUGCGCAGGCGGUUUUGUAAGACAGGUGUGAAAUCCCCGGGCUCAACCUGGGAACUGCACUUGGGACUGCAAGGCUAGAGUGUGUCAGGGGGAGGUGGAAUUCCGCGUGUAGCAGUGAAAUGCGUAGAGAUGCGGAGGAACACCGAUGGCGAAGGCAGCCUCCUGGGAUAACACUGACGCUCAGGCACGAAAGCGUGGGGAGCAAACAGGAUUAGAAACCCUUGUAGUCC